GACAUAAAGAAGUUGCAUGUUAACAUAAAUAAGUUGCAUGUUGACAUUAAUAGGUAGCGUAUCUAGCAUCUUGAAUGUCACAUGUUGGCGAUAUUUGAGAUUUUUUAUAACUCUUAUUUGAUUGCAGUUUUCUUGCAUGUCAACAUAGUUAUGUUGCAUGUUGACAUAACUAUCUUGCAUGUCAACAUAUUUAUCUUGCAUGUCCACAUAAUUAAUAGAAAAAUAACUUGCACACAAGGGGCAGAGAUAUGCCACCAUACUGUCCUUUCCACGUUAGGGAAUAGUCUCGCUGUUUUGCAACACAUUCUUUCUUUUCUUAUUUAUGUAAUUGAGGUCUUUCUGUUGUAAAUGUAUCUUUUAAAUAGUUUCGCUCCAACAGCUCGAAACCCAAGGCCAAUUCCGCAUUUAAUCCCCAACUCUCUGAAUUUUUGUCAUCUUAUUAUCAAGGUAUAAUUCAUAUUUUGUUCCGUAUGGCUACGUACAAAAUUUUAUGAGGGAAAUCUCAACAGUCGCCAAACCUAUACACAUACCUGUAGUUCUAUGAUGAAAAGUUGGGUAAGUUUGUAUAGGUAGAAUGCAUACGAUACUUACUAAAACGUGCAAUUUAAGGCACACAACAGUAGGCUAGUUUUGAACAUAUUGACAUACAUUCUGUACAAUAAAUCCAUAAAAAAAUGUACCAGUCAGUUUCAUACUUUGUUGCCGUUUUGCUUGCCCAACACUUACUGUUAGGCGAACCAACCUAAGAGUUGUCAUUUGUAUAUGUAAACAAACCAAACCACUUUGACAAGUAAAGUAAAAACAUCUGCAGUAAAAUUUAUGAGGGUAUGUAGGCAUAUAUUAUUUACACAGAAUGUGGUAGGGUAAAGGGUUAUCACGGGAACAAGCACUUGCAUAGAGAAGAUGGAUCUUAGUUCAUAAGCUUGCACUUCCAAUUCAGUCUUAAAUUCUUUCAUAUGAUCGUUUAUUGACUGUUAGAUUGGCGAUCGAUGGGUGUAGAAAUCGAGAACUUCAUCUCUAUCACUUCGAUAAUAAGUAAGUAGGUUAUACAUGUUCUUUAUAUAUAAACAAUAAAAUUAUUUGGUUGGUGAUUAUGCGGGUUAUGUAAUUUUUCCUCAAUGGUCGCUACCUUGAUAACCGGCAUGAAUCAUCAAAGAAAAUAUUUAUUGUUUAUACUUCAAUACUUUUUUCAAAGUCAAUAAAUCGAUAGAUAAAAUUGAAUAAUUUAAUUCUGGUUGUAACACGCUUUCUGAUUGGUUGAAAAAAUUAUUUUAUAUCGUAUAAAGAAUGUUGCCUACGUCACAGUAAGACUAACGUCAAAAACGUAUCAAUCCGCCUGCAUUACGUUUGAAUUUUGUACAAUUUAAUGUCAUUUUAUAGAUCAAAUGACAGUUGUUAUCAACAAUUGAUAGCAAAAAAAUUAAAAUAUCAGGAAUGAAUGCAAUAUUUAUUAGUGUUAUACGAUAUAAAAUUGUUUGGAACAGUUUACGCUUUUUAUAAACUGCAUCGCGAUAAACCAUUUUAUAUCUUAUAAAACUAAUAAAUAUUUAAUUCAUUCCUUUAGUAAAAGUAACUAAAUUUUGGUCAAUGUGUAUCAGUACAUCAAUUGAGAGAGAGAGACUUGCAAAGAUUUUUCUUAAAUACCAGUACUGACAGCGACAUAAGUUUAAAUUUAACUCAUAUGCUAAAAAAAUGGUUAAAUACAACUUUGUAGUAGACAAUUAUGAUUUUGUAAACUGAACAUAUCCAAUAACCAACUGUUGAAGAGUGUCGUUACUAAAUCAUUGUGUGAAAUCAUUUAUUCAUUGAAAAGUGAUGAAUGGUUUUAAGGAGAAACUCAUAUACGGGUAAUCAUACAUUUGCAAUGGCCAUACGUUUUGAUUUCCCUUAAAAUACAGAUUAUUUCGAACGAGACUUUUAAUGUACUUUCAUUAGUUUUUAUUAAUUCACAGUAUCAGUAAGUCUUAUCUUGAAGAAAUAGGGUUUUUACAAUAAUUUCUAAAAACAGGGGUCAACCGUCAGCGUUUUCUUAAUACCUUCCUGGUUUAGACACUCUUUUUACUCUCAGUAGGAUUCUAUUUACUUCUAAACAAUCACAUUGCAUCCAUUUGAUUAAGUAUCAUUUUUGUACUUGUUAAACUUAAAACAAUACGUAAAAACCACAACUGAAUUCAAACAGGAAUGUUGUUUUUUUCUGUAACUUUAUUGUAAAAAUAUGGUGGCAUAUCACACAAGGGGCAGAGAUACAUGUAUGCCACCAUAUAAAAACAUUAGUAAAAGAUUUUUUUUUUAAACCAAUGAUUUCUAUUUCUAAAAAAAGGAAGUCAGAGAUUUUAAAAUCUGCAGAUCUAGGUAAACAUUUCUUUAUAAUUUUCAAGGAGUAUGCGAUUGAAUUUCUUUUAAAAUGAAGUUAAUUUUAAUUCAGUUGCAGAGGGAUCAUGGCAACAUACUUACCGGCCCAAGUUGCCAUGAGCGGUUGUGAUUUGUGCAACACUGGUAGUAGUCUAACAAACGUCUGUGAAGUUUGCAAGAAAAGUAUGUGCAUUGACUGUUUCCAAACACACGAACAUGACCAAGCCAAGAAAAUUUACAAGAUAGAAUUUAAAGCAUCUCUGGAAACGACGACGGGAACCAUCUACAGUAUUUGUGUUACAAGGGACCAACACGUCUGGCUGUAUACCUUUGACAGGCUAAAUAAGUUGACCAUCGACGGGAAGGUUGUCAUGAGCAUUGGCAUACCUGUACAAUUUACAGAGAUGUCAAAGUACGCAAGGAGUAUUGAUGUCAUGGGCGACAAAGUACUCAUUUCAGCGACCGACAAAAUCCUUUGCGUUAACGACGGGUCGUCUUUCGAAAAGUUCUGCGAUUUUGGAUCUAAGGGAGUUCGAGUUACCGGAAUACACGUUACUGAAGACCACACUGUCUGGGUUUGCCUUCAGGGAGGUAGAUAUGUACUGGCCCUCCUGUCUACUACUGGAGUCCCUUCGAUGUAUCACUCACGAGUUGACGAAUGCGAACAAUACCCUAUACGGGUCCACCAAAUUUCAAAAGAGACUGUCUGGGUUCUGUACACCGACCAUUUUGUUCUGUAUGAACUUAAGUCAUCUAGUUUGCGUAUCAUGAAGGUGUUUAAACAAAAUGUGGAUCAUGGAAUAGACAUAGGUUCAGAUCAGUAUGGAAACUUGUUGGUUGCCUUAGAAAAUAAAUGCAAAAUGCGCGUUAUGUCACAAAAUGGAAAAAUAAUAACAAGUUUUCUAUUCCAAGGCCCCAAAAAGGUCGGCAGCGAGAUAAAAUCUAUAUACAGAGAUCACUCUAACAACAUUUGGGCUGGAUUUGAAAGCGAAAUGGGAUGCCAUACAUAUUGGCCUGGUCAACAAUGAUUCAGCGAUGAUUUCUAUUGCCACAGUGAAUACAACAUUGCAUUUGGAUUGCGUGAGACUUCUCAAUUUUAAAGAGCAAAUCGAAUACAUGUA